GACGAACGCUGGCGGCGCGCUUAACACAUGCAAGUCGAACGGAAAGGCCUGCUUUCCCUUGUGGAUUGCGGGUACUCGAGUGGCGAACGGGUGAGUAACACGUGAGUGAUCUGCCCCCAACUUGGGUAUAAGCCUGGGAAACUGGGUCUAAUUCCCGAUAGGACUGCAGGGUGGUGCCUGUGGUGGAAAACGAUUUUCUAGUGGUUGGGGAUGAGCUCGCGGCCUAUCAGCUUGUUGGUGGGGUAAUGGCCUACCAAGGCGGCGACGGGUAGCCGGCCUGGGAGGGUGGACGGCCACAUUGGGACUGAGAUACGGCCCAGACGCCUACGGGAGGCAGCAGUGGGGAAUAUUGGACAAGGGGCGGAAGCCUGAUGCAGCGACGCCGCGUGGGGGAUGACGGCCUUCGGGUUGUAAACUCCUUUCGACCGCGAGGAAGCCACCUGGUUGGAAGGGUGGUGACGGUAGUGGUAGAAGAAGCACCGGCUAACUACGUG
rnacentral:rRNA from 1 species